UCUCAUUAAAAGUUAUGUAUCUUUGUACCUUGUUCUUAAAAUAUGAAUUAUUUGAAUUGUUCGGGGUAGCUUAUCCUGAAAUCUGCCUUAUGCCAUAUUGUUUCAAGUGUCACAGCAUUGUGUUUUGCUUGUUCCUCGUACCUCUUCUUCAUGAGAUUAGUAAGUAGUACCCUAACUAUGUUGAAGCAGUUACUGAAUGAAAAGGCUGUGAAAUGUACUCAGUCCUAAACCCCUAAUUAAUUAAUACUAUAUUUGUAGCAAAGCAAAGGGCCAGAGGAAAGCAUGUGAGUAUAAUAAGAAGAAAUGAUCUGAUGCCUAUGUUUGCAUAUAGAAAAGUGAACAAAUAGAAUCUUGAGAAGGUGGUGUACUAGCUAUAUGUCCACUGUGGGAAUGGCCUUGUUACAUAUUGCCCAUUUGGUCUCAUAGGCACAUGUAAAGUAAAACGAGAAAAUUGAAGGAAGAAAGUGUUUAAAUGGGAAUUCAAUUAGUAAAGCUAAACUAAAC
rnacentral:lncRNA from 1 species